rnacentral:misc_RNA from 1 species
AGUACCACACCGCAAGCAG